GCGGCUGGACCCUGGCCUGCGCUGGCUGGGGAGGAAGCGGUUCUAGGGGAGCGUGCGGGCGCCGGGGUCCGGCGGCGAGAGGCCACCUUCUGGCCUUGCGAUGAAUCCUCGGUUUCCCCUUCUCAGAUGGGGUUUUCGUGAGGGUACAACGUCGGCAUUAGACAUUCCAGGUGACGCCCGUACGCGGUGGGCGGUUCGGGCCGGAGCUCUGGAACGCUGGCCCUGGAGGCGUCGACCCCUCGUUACUGAUGCAGGGACGCGGUGCGGACCAGUCAGGCCCAGAGCUCGUCCUUAGAUGUGGGUUCGAAUCUCUGCCCCGCCAACUUGUGAUCGUAUCGACUCGGCCCAGACGCAAUUUUCUUCUCUGCAAAAUCGUCAUAAGAAUAAUCACUUGUCAGGGUAGCUGCGGGCAUCCCAUUCGUUCCUUUCAUCAGCGCCGGGCAUAUGGGGCGUCAGAGGCUGAGAACGUUGCCGUGAAGAGGCUUAAAAGCAAGACCCGGAGUGGCGACCUUAAAGAGGACGGACUGAAGAAACGCGGGAAUGAGCUCCAGACGCGGGAGUUUCCUCUCUACAAAGUUACACUGCAGCAGCUGUCUACCCUGCCCCUUGUCUUUUGAGAAGUUCAAACCUUCAGAAAAGUUGCAAGAACACGAGGCUAAAGGCAGCAGUUCACUAUACUGUGGGUUGUCUUUGCGAGGAAGUUGCAUUGGACAAAGAGAUGCAGUUCAGCAAACAGACCAUUGCGGCCAUUUCGGAGCUGACUUUCCGACAGUGUGAAAAUUUUGCCAAAGACCUUGAAAUGUUUGCAAGACAUGCGAAAAGAACCACAAUUAACACUGAAGAUGUGAAGCUCUUAGCCAGGAGGAGUAAUUCACUGCUAAAAUACAUCACAGACAAAAGUGAAGAGAUUGCUCAGAUUAACCUAGAACGAAAAGCACAGAAGAAAAAGAAGUCAGAGGAUGGAAGCAAAAAUUCAAGGCAGCCAGCAGAGGCUGGAGUGGUGGAAAGUGAGAAUUAAAGUCCCUCGCCGCUUGGAAAGUGCAGCCUUCUACAGGUAGAGCCACCUAGAAAUGCAUAUGGCUGCAAAGGAAACUUUGAAGGGUUAAAUAGAGAUUUAAAAAAAUAAAAUAAAAAGGCUGGGCUAGGGUGCUUUUUGUGCUGAAUUCUCCACAUUGUUAACUGCCAAAGCUAGUUUUAGAGAAUGAGAAAGUCUUAAGCAAAAUACUCCCAGGUCUCACUCCAGAACAUAAAAAUGGUGUGUGAUCAAAUGGUAUAUAUUAGAAAUUACAUCUGUUGUAAUUAAAAUUGUGUGAGCAAUUAAACAUGGUUGACUUUUUCAAGCAAAAAUCAGUUCAUCUUUUGAUGUAAUUUUCUAGGCUAAAUGGCAAUCUCUGAAAGAUGAAUAAAGCUAUAUUUAUUUA